UUGACCUCAAAUCAGGUAGGACUACCCGCUGAACUUAAGCAUAUCAAUAAGCGGAGGAAAAGAAACUAACAAGGAUUCCCCUAGUAACUGCGAGUGAAGAGGGAAGAGCUCAAAUUUGAAAUCUGGCAGUGUUUUGCUGUCCGAGUUGUAAUCUAGAGAAGUGCUGCCCGUGCUGGACCAUGUACAAGUCUCCUGGAAUGGAGCGUCACAGAGGGUGAGAAUCCCGUCUUUGACAUG
rnacentral:rRNA from 1 species